AAUGGGCGAAAGCCUGACGCAGCAACGCCGCGUGCGGGAUGAAGGCCUUCGGGUUGUAAACCGCUUUCAGCAGGGAAGAAGCGAAAGUGACGGUACCUGCAGAAGAAGCACCGGCUAACUACGUGCCAGCAGCCGCGGUAAUACGUAGGGUGCAAGCGUUGUCCGGAUUUAUUGGGCGUAAAGAGCUCGUAGGCGGUUAGUCACGUCGGAUGUGAAAACCCAGUGCUUAACACUGGGCCUGCAUUCGAUACGGGCUGACUAGAGUGUUGUAGGGGAGACUGGAACUCCUGGUGUAGCGGUGAAAUGCGCAGAUAUCAGGAAGAACACCGGUGGCGAAGGCGGGUCUCUGGGCAACUACUGACGCUGAGGAGCGAAAGCGUGGGGAGCAAACAGGAUU
rnacentral:rRNA from 1 species